GCCAGCAGCCAUAUCACCCGCAACUCACAACUGGCAACCCACUGACACUAAGCAGGUGUGAGCCUGGGCAGUACCUGGAUAGGAGACCUACUGGGAAAAACUAAGGUUGCUGCUGGAA
rnacentral:rRNA from 1 species